AAGUCGUAACAAGGUUUCCGUAGGUGAACCUGCGGAAGGAUCAUCAAUGGGUUACCGCCUCCGGGCACACCCCCCACUCUUUGUAACUGCGGCCCGGAUUCGGCGCCUGGCGGGGACAACCCUCCGCUCGCGGGGGGCCCCGCCUGCCGGAAUUCAGCCAACCCUGCCUAGAAAAAUUGAAGUCUGAGAACAAGUUAAAUUAAACAAAA
rnacentral:misc_RNA from 1 species